rnacentral:rRNA from 1 species
GACGAACGCUGGCGGCGUGCUUAACACAUGCAAGUCGAACGGAAAGGCCCCCAUCGUGGUUGGGGUGCUCGACUGGCGAACGGGUGAGGAACACGUGGGUGAUCUGCCCUGUACUUCGGGAUAAGCUUGGGAAACUGGGUCUAAUACCGGACAGGACCAUGGUUUAGUGUCUCAUGGUGGAAAGAUUAUUGUUUUGGUGCAGGAUGAGCUGGCGGCCUGUCAUCUGGUUGGUGGGGUAAUGGCCUACCAAGGCGUCGACGGGUAGCCGGCCUAAGAGGAUGGACACGGGCAUUGGGACACGGAUCAGACCCAGACUCGUACGAGAGGCGGCGGUGGGGAAAAUUGGCGCAUAGGCCCAAUCCUGAUGCGGCGACGCUGCGUGGGGGAUGUCGGCAUUCGGGUUGUAAACUCCUUUCGUUAGGGACGAGGCAGCGCUUGUUGGGUGUGGUGACGGUACCUUUGUUAAGAAGCACCGGCUAACUACGUG